UACGGGGGGAGCAAGCGUUGUUCGGAUUUACUGGGCGUAAAGGGCGCGUAGGCGGCCACCGCAAGUCGACUGUGAAAUCUCUGGGCUUAACCCAGAAAGGUCAGCCGAUACUGCGGGGCUAGAGUGCAGAAGGGGCAACUGGAAUUCUCGGUGUAGCGGUGAAAUGCGUAGAUAUCGAGAGGAACACCUGCGGCGAAGGCGGGUUGCUGGGCUGACACUGACGCUGAGACGCGAAAGCUAGGGGAGCGAACAGG
rnacentral:rRNA from 1 species